GUGCUCGCUUCGGCAGCACAUAUACUAAAAUUGGAAUGAUACAGAGAAGAGUAGUAUGGCUUCUGUGCCAGGAUGACAUGCAAAUUCAUGAAGUGUUCCAUAUUUUU
rnacentral:snRNA from 1 species